UACGUAGGUCCCGAGCGUUGUCCGGAUUUAUUGGGCGUAAAGCGAGCGCAGGUGGUUUAUUAAGUCUGGUGUAAAAGGCAGUGGCUCAACCAUUGUAUGCAUUGGAAACUGGUAGACUUGAGUGCAGGAGAGGAGAGUGGAAUUCCAUGUGUAGCGGUGAAAUGCAUAGAUAUAUGGAGGAACACCGGUGGCGAAAGCGGCUCUCUGGCCUGUAACUGACACUAAGGCUCGAAAGCGUGGGGAGCAAACAGG
rnacentral:rRNA from 1 species